rnacentral:rRNA from 1 species
CCUACGGGUGGCAGCAGUCGAGAAUCAUUCACAAUGGGGGAAACCCUGAUGGUGCGACGCCGCGUGGGGGAAUGAAGGUCUUCGGAUUGUAAACCCCUGUCAUGUGGGAGCAAAUUAAAAAGAUAGUACCACAUGAGGAAGAGACGGCUAACUCUGUGCCAGCAGCCGCGGUAAUACAGAGGUCUCAAGCGUUGUUCGGAAUCACUGGGCGUAAAGCGUGCGUAGGCUGUUUCGUAAGUCGUGUGUGAAAGGCGCGGGCUCAACCCGCGGACGGCACAUGAUACUGCGAGACUAGAGUAAUGGAGGGGGAACCGGAAUUCUCGGUGUAGCAGUGAAAUGCGUAGAUAUCGAGAGGAACACUCGUGGCGAAGGCGGGUUCCUGGACAUUAACUGACGCUGAGGCACGAAGGCCAGGGGAGCGAAAGGGAUUAGAUACCCCGGUAGUC